rnacentral:rRNA from 1 species
AGGGAGCCUGAGAAAAGGCUACCACAUCCAAGGAAG